CACGCACCGGUGGGGUCCCUCGGCCUGGCCUGCGUCCUCUAGCAAUUCAGGACCUCUCAGGGGAUGUUGGAGAGUCGGUUUUGUCCUGAUCCCUGCAGGCCAGGCCGAGGGACCCCACCGGUGCACG
rnacentral:pre_miRNA from 1 species